rnacentral:rRNA from 1 species
ACCAGACUCCUACGGGAGGCAGCAGUGGGGAAUAUUGCACAAUGGGGGAAACCCUGAUGCAGCGACGCCGCGUGAGUGAAGAAGUAUUUCGGUAUGUAAAGCUCUAUCAGCAGGGAAGAUAAUGACGGUACCUGAUUAAGAAGCCCCGGCUAACUACGUGCCAGCAGCCGCGGUAAUACGUAGGGGGCAAGCGUUAUCCGGAUUUACUGGGUGUAAAGGGAGCGUAGACGGUGAUGCAAGUCAGAAGUGAAAGCCCGGGGCUCAACUCCGGGACUGCUUUUGAAACUGUGUGACUGGAGUGCAGGAGAGGUAAGCGGAAUUCCUGGUGUAGCGGUGAAAUGCGUAGAUAUCAGGAGGAACACCAGUGGCGAAGGCGGCUUACUGGACUGUAACUGACGUUGAGGCUCGAAAGCGUGGGGAGCAAACAGGAUUAGAUACCCGUGUA